UUACUAUGUUGCCCAGUCUCAUCUCAAACUCCUGGGCUCAAGCAAUCCUCCCAUCUUAGCCUCCUGAGUAGCUGGGAACACAGAGUCUAACUUGGAGAUUCAAUAACAGAGCACGGAGACAAAAGACAGCUGGAAGUAUGAUCCAGGCGCUACAGCUUCUUAGAUCUUCCAAAUAAAAACCAAUAUUCCUUUGGAUUACAUGAAUUAAAUAGAAAGACAAAGCUUGGAAAUUCUGACAUAGGUUCUGACAAUAUUUUCUUUCUUAAAUGAAAUAACCAUUUUAGAGACAAGAUCAAUAUGACCCAUUUUAAUAUGGGGUCUGAAUCCACUCUUUAAGCAAUGGAUAACUAUGGCUACAUAGUAAAUAAAGGGUGAUAUAAUUUUCCAAGAGCUUUGAUUCAUAACUGUUUUAGAAUCUUAGAAGCAUUGAAAAAAUUAAUGAAAUCAUCAGCCUUUACCCCAUGGAAAAAUAAUAAUCAUUUUACAAUUUUGUACAUUCUGCGGAGGUUAAUAAUCCUCUGAAAUCUUAGACUCUCAUAUAGAAUCUAGUCUAGAAUAUGGUUCUUAAGAACAAUACCAGUUUUUAACCAUUGUUUUAUGUUUAUAUAAAAUUUUAAUUGUUCUUUAAUUCAUACCUAUACAGACUGGUGGGCUGGGCUGCCAGAAGUACCG
rnacentral:lncRNA from 1 species